ensembl:snoRNA U3 Small nucleolar RNA U3
AAGACUAUGCUUUCAGGGAUCAUUUCUAUAGUUUCUGACUUGGAAGUUUGAUUUGAAAGUGUAACGUCUCUCUAACCACGAUGACGAGUUAAGAUAGCCUCCAGCUCCACACACCAGAGAAUUUCAGGUUUCCUGUCCCUCUCACAUCAGUCACGCCACUUGGCUUCCUUGCUCACCAUCGGGGUGAAUCCCUGUGUGUGGA